GUAUGUGAGGCUGAUCUGAUUGUGACACCUGUCAUCUGGUUGAUCCGCCAGGAUUGAUUCAGCUGAUUCAGAUGGCUAGACGGGUGUCCCCUUCUUCCCCCACCUCUGCAUGUGUGUCCCUCGUGAAGCCACACUCUCUGUCAAAGAGGACUACCUUCCCCCACAGAGGAGGACCGUUGUUUGGUCAAGGGUAUACGAGUAACUGAGCUCCCUUGCUAGAGCCUCCAAACAAGCUCUUAAGAUAUUUCUGUCUCUAAACUCUGGUCUGCAAGAACACAGGAAACAUAAGUCAUUCAUCCAAUUAUUUAUUCAUUCAUGAAUGCAUAAAACAUU
ensembl:misc_RNA 7SK 7SK RNA